rnacentral:lncRNA from 1 species
UCCUUCACAAGUCUUUGCCAUUCAACCCAGGGUUCAGGCCUCGAGGAGGCCACGUGGGGGUGCCAGGCUCCAGGGGACCCUCAGGGAACUGAGUGUGGCCACGUGGCCCCGAGAGUCUGCCCUCUCUCACGGCCGCAGGGCUCAGAGGACACUGGGCCUCCUUGCUGCCUUCCCGGCCGUGAGGGUCCAGGGACCAGGAGACGCCAGGGCCGUGAGGGUGUGGGAGAGACCACCCAGGGAGGGGGAGGCCCCCGACGAGUCCCCCCGCACAGCUGCUGCCUCUCUGCUGGGCUGGAGCGGAGCCCACCACCCCUCUGGGCUGAGGCUCGGGCUGAGGAGGGGUUUGUCCCUGGAGCCGGACGGGCCCCAGGAGACAGCAGAGAGCAGCCUGGCCAGGGGUUUCUGUGCUGGCGCCUGGGAGGGGACAGAUCAGGGUCAUCUCUGCGGUGACUAAACCCCGAGUUUGCUGUGAGCUCCUAAGCCCCAGCAGCCUCUGGCCAGUGUCACAACACCCCGAGGAAGUGACAGAUGCCAGAAGAACCAGCGUUCAGGGAGUUAAAGUUCCAUGUUGGAACGGGAACCACACAAGCCUUCUCCUCUUCCAAACUCAGGCCUCAGGACACGAAUCCCCUUCAAGGUCAUCUUUAAACGCGGCCUCCUGGCACGGCCGCCCCCAGGGCAGUGAUGGCCCCCAUGGAUGUCCUGGGGUCGGCCGCGUUCAGACUCCCCGGCCGGCAGCCUUCCCGUCUGGACAGUUGCCCACGGCCGUGCCAGGAGGGCUCAUGCCACCAGACCGCAUGUUCCAGGCCUUUCUCCACCACGUGCUUUGCCUGUGCAAGGGCCUCUGAUGCCUGAAGCUCUCGCAGGGCCUGUCCCCACACUGCCCGGACAGCCCCCGGGCCAGCACUGCCAUGUCGACCCUUUCCCAUGGGGCACGUUUGGCCUUGAGACGCUCCACAGGGCUUGGCCUCUGGUCUGCAGAGAUCAGUUGCAGCCUCCCAGCUCUCUUGGACUCCCAGGAAUGGGAUGGACCUGCCGGCCAUGGGCAUCUCUGUUCCAGAACCUCAGGCAGCACCCAGCUUUGACCAGCUGGGCUCUGCCUGAGGUCCCUGGACCCACCUGGUCAAAGCUGUAGCAUCCCCGGC